GGGGUGGUUCGGACAGGCGAUCGAGGGCCAUGCGCAAAACAUCCUCAUCGGCGAAAGUCGCACCAAGGUCGUCGUCAAGGCGAUGAAGGAGGACGUUACGACAAUAGAGCAGCACUACUUCCUCUGCGAGGCGAAGAUGUACAGGGACUUGGACCACGAGAAUACGCUGAAGGUGCUCGGCCAGUGCCUCGACACAACUCCCUACCUGCUCAUAAUGGAAUUCGCCGCAUUUGGCGACCUGAAGACAUACCUCCUACGUCAGCGCGACG